CUCAGAGUCUCUGUGUUUCUGUAAUGAUAGGAGCUCUCUCCCCUCAGCUUGAUCCCUUCUGUCAUUGCGGGGGUCAUUGAGGUCUUUGCUCAAAUGUCACUUCCUCAGAGAAGCCUUCCUUGACUAUCAGACUGACAAAAUCUCUGCUGUUAUAGAGUUGACCUUUCAGGGAUGAGAUAAGAAAUAUGCCUGUUAAUGUUUAAUAUGACAAGAAACAAAGUAAGGGUAAGGGAGAUAGAGAACAAUCUGGGUGGGAUGCUGGGGGAGAGCUCUAUUGGUUGGUCAAUAAAGGCCUCUCUGGUCAGUGGACAUUUGAACCAUCUAAGGACAGGAGUUUUCUCUGUGUGUUCAAAGAAAAGAAAGAAAGCAGAGGGCUGCCCUGGAGCCACAGAGAGGGCAAAGGUAGGAGAUGACAUCUAUGAGGCAGCUGUUCACGGGCCGGAUCAUGGAGGCCAUGAUAAAACUCAUGGAGGCCAGGCCAGGACUUUGGAUUUUAUGGUUCUAAGCAGAGUGGUAAAAUGGCCUAAUUUCCAUGUGAUCAUUCUGGUUGCUUUACAGAAAAUAGACUGCUGUAGAGUAAUGGAGGAAACAGGGAGACCAGUAAGGGGGCCCCUCAAUUAGCGCUUCUUUGGGGAACCAGGUUAACUGACAACACGGCAGCAAAGAAGCGAGAGAGUAUGAGAGAAUGUCAGCAACAGAGACAAAGCUGGCAGGAUGGAGGUCAGACUCUUCUGUAACCUCAACAUGGAAAUGACACCCCAUCAUCUGCACUCUAUUAUUUUUGUUAGAAGCGAGUCACCAGGUCCCGUUUAUACUCAUGGGAAGGGGAUUACUCAAGGGUGUGGGUGGCAGGAGGUGGGGAUCCCUGGGAACCCUAUCAGAAGCUGCCUACCAUGUCUAUAUAAAGUAAUAUUUGAGAUCCAAGUGCUGAUCCAGUACAGAAAAACUCUCCAACCAUUUUUGCCACCUAUAACUUUGCAGUUAGGAACGUCCACAGGAAUAUUAGAACUGUUUCCCUUUGAUAGAAGGCCAUAUGUCAGUGGAGGUGUUUUUGGCGCUUACUAAUGCACUCAGUAACUUGAUUUGAAAAGAGAACUGUGCAAUACUGUAUAAUUUCAAACACUUUCCUAGCAAAAAUAUAUUACCUUUAAUUAGGCUGAUUUAAAGCUGUUAAGAUUCUUGUCAGAAAUAAUUUUUAAGUGGAUGUGUCAAGAUGAAAACAGCAGUUGUCAAGUGAAGAAAGCGGUAAUUUGUGUGUGUGCUGUCUGGCUUAUGAGAAAUUGGGUCUUUAAAUACCAACCAAGCAUUCCUGCUAACAAUUUCUUUUAUAGAAGCCAUUCUGGCAGUUUGGGAUUCAAAAUGUUGGAAUGCUAUUGUUUGUGGUAAAUAUUUGUCCUAUGACUAGGGAAUUAAAUUUAGUUCCUACCCUGUAAUAUAGACAAAAGCAUCUCUAAGAAGAGAAAGCAUUUAAGCAAUUAAAUUCACCAAGUGGUCAAACACAUAGCAUGAGCAAAGCAUUCUGGGUGAUUACAGAGUGGAAUAAUAAUAACAAUAAUGAAGACCACUCUUAGAUGAAAGCAAAUCAGGUGACUUUAAGCACUCGAAAAAGCUUGAAUUCUACUUGCAGUCUUUUUAGGCUACUAAUUUCUUUAGCAAGCUUUUGUUAUUGGGCAGUGAAAAGGAGGGCUUUUGCUUGACCUCUAUGGUAGGGUUUCUUAGUAGUGGCACUGUUGACAUUUUGGGUCACGUAAUUCUUUGUUGUGGGGGGGCUGUCCUAUGCACUGUAAGAUGUUUAGCAGCAUUCCUGGCUUCCCAGGAUGCCAAUAGCUUUGCUCCUCUCAUCCCAGUUGUGACGUUGAAAUAUGUGUGCAGACGUUGCCGGAUGUACCUGGAGGUAGAGAGAGGGGGGGAAAAAAUCACCACACUAUGGCAAUUACCACAGCUUUUGAAUCAGGGAAUUCUAAAUUAACACGAGGUAACAUUAUCUUACUUUUAUCCAUUGCAUUUAUAAAUAUUUUGUCUUUUCUCUUGGUCCUCAAAAGCAAAAUUCCAUAUGCUAUAUAAAAGAUAAUUCAUUCUCCUAGUCAUUGAGCCAGUGAACAUUCACUGAGUGCUUACUGCAUGCAAUCAACUUUCCCCAGGCAUUGCAAAGAAUACAGAAAAAAGUAGGUUUUUGUCCUCAAGAAGCUUGAGAUCUCGGAGGAGGUAGAGAAGGGAUUUAGGUCGUGUAUAUACAUGACUAUCAAGCAAGUAGGAAGAACUAAAUUCAAAUAAAGAAAGAGGUAAAAUUUAUUGAGAGGAACUUUUACUUUUCCCUUGCAGACCAGCGGUGAUUUAGAAGUUUAUCCCUGAGCUGGGAUUCUGGAAUCAGAGUUUAAUAGAGCAAGGUUAACCUAAGUUUUGGGGUAUGAGAGUAGAUUUGGAAUUGGAGCUAGACCUCUGGAACAAAACAUCAAAUCAAUGGGGGUAGGCAGAGAGAUAGAAACCCAGUCUGAAGCCAAAGGUUCUCAACCAGAAAUGGCAAGAUGGAGGGUGCAUGUUCAAGAGGACCAAAAAGCGGGGGAGCCUGGAAAAGGUUGCUGAAACACUGACAAACAGCCCCUGGUCCAUUUUGUAGGAAACUGCUAAUGAGCUCAGGUGCAAUCACAGCUGUAGGAGCACUAAACUGAUUUAAUGGGUGGGAGGCCUUCCAGUGGGACCAGAAUUAUUCUUCUCUUACCCAUGGUGCCCAGGAACUCAGCAGUGGUGUAUGGAAAGCAAUUCCAAGCCAUACACAGGCAAUGGAAGAUGAGAUAUCAGAGGGUCCUGCUUCCAAGUACCUCCCACUGGCCAGCCCUGUGCCCAACAUCUCCACCAUUAGGGCUUUGUCAUUUGGGUGAGUCUUCUGAAAAAGCAAACAUUCUCCCCAAAAUGGUGUUAUUAUCCAUGAACUCGUGGUGUUAUAAUUUUCGAAGUAUAUUCCAAAGACUCUUAAUAGGUAUUACCUUGAAGAGUUUAAUCAACCAAUUAGUUUCUGAAGUGCCUGGUAAAAGAAAUUAAACACAUUUUUUUACUGCAGAAUUUAUAAGAACCUUUAAGAUACAUCAUCAAUCUCAAAUGGAGGGUUAUACUGUGAAACACUUCCAAAAUUUAUUUGAAUACAAAGCCAUUUUAUCGUGUAACAUCUCAUGAGAACAUGGUGUAUGCUACAUGCUUUGUGUAACCCUGCGUGGUUGUGAAAUGAGUGGCUGUUGCCAACUGUCUGGACUUUAAGUGAAUGGGGUAUAGCAGGAAAAAUAUAUCAACAUGUGCAUAUUCACAGACCUCUCCCUCCACACCUGCUAAAGGAAAACUUGACUUUGCCAGUUUGGUUCCACCGCAUUUCUUGCCCCACCAAAUAGAGUUCUGUCUUGAUCACCAGUUUCAUGGUCUUUAUUAUACAUCACUGUAAAUGGUGAAGUCUGGAGAUGCUGGCUAAUUACUCUAAAGAGCAGAUGAUAGGAGAAAAAUAACGGAAAUAUUAAGGGGGGAAUGAAAAGUAGGGCAGGUUUGGAGAGCAGUCGUUGGUGGAGUAGGGCAGGUAACUGACUCUGAGAGCUGCCUUUGUGCAUCUUGGAGUCUGAGAAAGAGCGAAUGCCUGGUAAGAGAAUAUUUUUCUGGACGUGAGAAGAGUAAUUCUUAAGUUGACGUUUUUCCUUAUCAAACUGUAGUAAACAUUUAAAUUGCUUUUUAUUUACUUUUGGUUGCUAGGAUGAAUUUAUUUAAAUAUGAAAAUGAGCUGAAAUGGGGUGUUAAGGUGGGAUCCAAAAGGUCUGUCUUUAUAAAGGCAGUUACAGGGAAUAUUUAACGAGAAGCAGAGAUCCUGG
ensembl:lncRNA